GGUAUUUUGACUAUACAAAGGUAUUGUAAUAAGGCUUUAAUUGAGUGCUAAAAGAAUGGACUUUCAAAAAAAGUCUAUCUUGAAUUUAAUAAUUGAAUUUAUUUUUAUUUGUGAAGAAACAAUAAUUUAAAUUAAGGACAAGAAGACCCUAAGAAUUUUUAAAUUCAAAAUAAAAGGAAUUUUAUUUUGAAUUUUUAAUUGGGGCGAUUAAAAAAUAUUAUUAACUUUUAAUUUCAAAAAAUGAUCCAUUAUUAAUGAUUUAAUGUAAAAAAUACUCUAGGGAUAACAGCGUAAUAA
rnacentral:rRNA from 1 species